rnacentral:lncRNA from 1 species
UUGAGAAAAAAUUAGAGAGAAGGACUUGACUUUUGGUAUUCGUUUGAGCAUCUAAGAUUGAUCUAUUAUUCAAAAUCUAUAACGAAGAUAAGAUGCAUCCUAAACUUUGAUUUAUGAAUUUCCUACAUAUAGAGCUUUGUUCUUGAAAUAAGAUUUUAUACUCUAAUCUUCUGUACGAGAUUUAUGAAAAAUUUUUAACAAUGAUAUUUUUUGUAGAAGAUUAGAAUCAAAAUUAAUGUUUUCGCGAGAGAUUAGAACCAAACAAAGAAUUGAUUUAAUUUGAUGUAAUCAAUUAAAAAAUUAAAAAAAAUUGAGGAAGAAAAGGGACGGAUAACUAUGGUUGUGUCCUCUUCUUCUUUUCUACUCGUCGGUUGGACCGAUCUCUGCGGGAUCAAGCUCCGACGGUGGUCAGGAACAGCUGGCGGUGAGGGGCAGGUGGUUCCGAUCUAGAUCCCAAGAUCCCAAAAAAAAGAAAAAAGACGAAAAUCAUGAGGGCCAGUGGUCCUUCCGUCAUCGUGUCCUCUUCCUCCUUCUCCUUUGCGGAGACUUCCCGGUCACCGUCCGAGCAAGUGGCGGCGACCUUGCUGGGCGUGACUGGCGGUGGAUCGAGGCCGGCAGCCGACAGGGAAGGCAGGAGAGGGGAUGGCGGUCGACCUUCCAUCGAUUGUCAAACCGAAUAGAGAUGGGAGCGCCAGUUCUUGCGCCCCCUUUGCCACCGCUCGAUGGGGUUUUCCGGCCUCCUUACCCACCGAUGGUGGGCGGCGGAAAGAGGUGAUGAUCGAAGCUGGUGGAUGGAGAGAGGCCGGCAGUCAUCCUUCCCGCUGGCCGUCGGACCGGCAUGGAGGGAAAAGGGGCACCAGUUUUGCCCCUUCUUCAUCGAACUAAUCGUAAGGAAAGAGAAGACACUUAAUGGGUUUCGGAUUUUGGGUUUCAACCCAAAAUCCGAACCCGAUUUGUUAAUUUUAAAUUUUAUGAUACUUUUGCAUUUUAGUACCUAACGAAUAUAAUAUUUGAUUUCAGUCCAA